CAGUCGCCGCGGUAAUACGAAGGGUGCAAGCGUUAAUCGGAAUUACUGGGCGUAAAGCGUGCGUAGGCGGUGAGCUAAGUCUGCUGUGAAAUCCCCGGGCUCAACCUGGGAAUGGCAGUGGAUACUGGCUCGCUAGAGUGUGUCAGAGGAUAGUGGAAUUUCCGGUGUAGCAGUGAAAUGCGUAGAGAUCGGAAGGAACAUCUGUGGCGAAGGCGGCCCCCUGGACAAAGACUGACGCUCAGGUGCGAAAGCGUGGGGAGCAAACAGGAUUAGAUACCCCAGUAGUCCCUGUCUCUUAUAC
rnacentral:rRNA from 1 species